rnacentral:rRNA from 1 species
UACGUAGGGGGCAAGCGUUAUCCGGAUUUACUGGGCGUAAAGGGAGCGCAGACGGCAGGGCAAGUCUGAAGUGAAAGCCCGGGGCCCAACCCCGGGACUGCUUUGGAAACUGUCCGGCUGGAGUGCAGGAGGGGCGGGCGGAAUUCCUAGUGUAGCGGUGAAAUGCGUAGAUAUUAGGAGGAACACCGGCGGCGAAGGCGGCCCGCUGGACUGCAACUGACGUUGAGGCUCGAAAGCGUGGGGAGCAAACAGG